AACCCAUGGUGAGGGCGCCUUCUCAAUAAAUCCUUAUAUCUCUCCCAUGCAUUAUAUAAGGUUUCUAAGUUGAUUUGAAUGAAGGAAGAGAUAUCAUUCCUAAACUU
rfam:Gossypium arboreum cultivar AKA8401 contig_46083_1, whole genome shotgun sequence.